GCAGUCGAACGGAAAGGCCCAGCUUGCUGGGUACUCGAGUGGCGAACGGGUGAGUAACACGUGGGUGAUCUGCCCUGCACUCUGGGAUAAGCCUGGGAAACUGGGUCUAAUACCGGAUAUGACCAACUGUCGCAUGGUGGUUGGUGGAAAGCUUUUGCGGUGUGGGAUGGGCCCGCGGCCUAUCAGCUUGUUGGUGGGGUAAUGGCCUACCAAGGCGACGACGGGUAGCCGACCUGAGAGGGUGAUCGGCCACACUGGGACUGAGACACGGCCCAGACUCCUACGGGAGGCAGCAGUGGGGAAUAUUGCACAAUGGGCGCAAGCCUGAUGCAGCGACGCCGCGUGAGGGAUGACGGCCUUCGGGUUGUAAACCUCUUUCACCAGGGACGAAGCGUGAGUGACGGUACCUGGAGAAGAAGCACCGGCCAACUACGUGCCAGCAGCCGCGGUAAUACGUAGGGUGCGAGCGUUGUCCGGAAUUACUGGGCGUAAAGAGCUCGUAGGCGGUUUGUCGCGUCGUCUGUGAAAAUUCUGCAACUCAAUUGCAGGCGUG
rnacentral:rRNA from 1 species